CUCUCGCAGCCCGACUUGAGUGGAAAUCCUUUUUUUGCUAGACUAAAAUUUCAAUUUAAUCUGAAAAUGUGAUGCAAAAAAAGAUUGGGAACGGAAGGCGGAAAUAGCU
rfam:Chryseobacterium arachidis strain DSM 27619 genome assembly, contig: Ga0131169_109